CGUCGGAAUCGUCAUACGUGAUCUUGAAAUAUUUUUUCAAUGGAUAGUCGUAUGGCAAACUCUCAAUCUUAUAAUGCAUGCACGUUUUGAUACAACGAAACAUCUUUUUUAGAAAAAUACCAUGCUGGACGUAUUUUUCUUGAAUAGAUGAUUUAAGAGGAAUAUAUAUGGAGAUGACUGUAUCUAGCAAUGCUUGAACAUAUUCUAGUAGUUGCUGUGAAUAUUUCGUUAUAUCUUUAUAUGACAACGUAUCUAAAUGCAGACACUGACAUUUAUAAUAUAUCUUAGAGAUCAAAAGAAAAAUAAGACGUUUUGCCCGAGAUAUCUCCAACUCGUUUAUACAUCUGAUCGUUAUUAUGAGCACUUCCAUGCAUAGAUAUAAUGGUAAGUGCAUGAGUGAUUCAAUCAUUAGAUCCUCGCAUUUUAUAUGCCAUAUUAUCUAUAUUAUAAACAAUUGCAAUAGAACGUCAAUAUUCACUAUAUCUAUAGCAAAAUCAAUAAACUACUAUUAUUAGUAAUACAAGAAUUACCUGUAUGAAGAGAUAUGGUGAUAGAGUAGGCCACGAAUUACCUAUAUGACUAUUUUCCAUAUUCCGCAUGACAAAGAGCCGCGAAAAAAAGUUAGUAUUCAACAGAAUAUAAUUGUAACUCUUAAUAAUGUCCUUUGUAAUGCAGUUGCUUGGUUUAGAAGUAUCUUCGUCAAAGAAUAACGUAAUCUCGUACAAGUUGAUUGUCUUGUAAUAUUUUCAAUGGCUUUUAAUAGCUGGUUGAUAAAAUACGAAGUCUCUGUAGUUCGAAAAGAAAUAUUCUUUAAUUGGUGUCCAUAUUCCUGCUCUUUUUCACAUAAAAGUCUUUGCAUUUGCUUUGAAAACUUUACUUGAUUUGGCGAAUCCAACUCUGGUGAGUUCUUGAACAGAUAAAAUGGACUAUGUGUCUUGUGGACCUAUAAAUUGCUGCAGGCAUUGAAGCAAAUGCUCGUUUGUACAUAAAUAUUCACUAGGACCUAUCCACAUUAAAAUUGGUUCAUCGAUAAAAAACAUUUUAAGGAAAAUACCAUGCUGCACGUAUUUUUCUUGAAUAGAUGAUUUAAGAGGAAUAUAUAUGGAGAUGACCGUAUCUAGCAAUCCUAUUUCAUAAACUCCAUAAAGGAAAUGGCAUUCGGUGAUGAAGGCGUGCUGUAGCGAAAUCGGAAUAAUCUCCUCAUCAUUGACCUUCUCAUCAGUGACCUCCGUCCAAGCCUCGAAAUAAUCAAUCUUCUUGAUUUCAUUGAGAAGUAAGGUAACUAAUGCCUGAUCCAGUUUUGCCAUAAUAGAUUUCACUAUACAAUAUUAAGAAAAAUGAGUAAAAAUUAAUAAGACACUAUAAGAGCUGGCACCUAUCCACAUUAAAAUUUGUUUAUAGAAAAACAAAAAUAAUAAAUAGGGAUAACAUUGGUAUUCUACUAGAAUAUCUUCAAUAUAAACUUGCACUGCCGGAUUACGAAGAUAAAAAGGAAGCGUAUACGUUAAUAUCGUAUGUGUUAAAAGAGCAAAAGCUAUCAGAUCUGUUCUAUAUUGUACUAUGGUAUACAUUACGUCAUUUUAACGACAAUCUUUUAAAAUGUAUGUUCGAAAAUGAAAAAUUCAAGAGCUUUAUAGAAGACGAUAAAAACAUAAAAAAUUAUUAUACUAUUUUAAACUAUGUUCUAUUGCACCCGAAGAAGGUAUUAAGCAUUUUGGUGAGAGACCAAAUAAGUAGUACUCAGAUGAAAUAUAAAAAUGUCGUGUUAAAAAAUCUUGAGUUCCAUUAUUUACGUUCAUUUUUUAUGUCACAAUUAAAUAAUCAAUAUAACAUGCUGACGUAUUUUAUGAAUGACGCUUGGAAUUGUAAUCACUCUACAUGGAACAACGUGCAAUUUGAAAUUUUUAUGAAUGACAUACUUCAGAGUGAGGUAAAUGAGAUAAACAUAAUAGCUAAUUUUUAUCAACUUUAUCGUUUAAAUAAAAAUUUAUGUUAUUUUUUAAAAUUCUUUAUGCGUUAAAAUAUAUAUCAAUUCUAAUUUUUUUCUUUCUUUUUUAUGUUAGAGUAGAUCUAUAUAGUAAACUGUUUUCGAAAAGAUGAAUUUCGUGGCAAAAUUAUUCAGCUUUCUAAAGUUUUGCAGUUGAAACACAUGCAUGCAAUAAUGAUAUUAAAAAUUUAGCACGUAUAUUUGUUUUAAUUAUGAAACAUUAAGCAAUUUUCUUUCAUUAAACUCUUUUUAGUGACAUUUAUUUAUAACAAUUUAUGUUUUGUAUUUAUUAUUACUUUAUAGCUAAUCUGUUUAGUCAAUAUUUUGUUAGUAUAUUUAAGUAAAAUUAUUUGUGAGGAGACGAGAAUGGAGAGUGAAGAUUGUGAGGAGAUUGAUGGGCAAUGUUCAGAGCUGCGUGGAGAUGCGAUGCGUUAUACCGAAUUCGGUUGGACUGCACCAGUGUGCACUGGUGCACAUUAAAGUCAACGUACAUGAAUUGAUGUAAGAUGUGUGUUCAGUAUAAAUAUAUAAACAGAUUAAAUUAUGAAAUCUUCAGUACUCUUUUAUGUUAUUUGAUAAAAUACAAGUAUUUAAAAUUUCUUCAGUCGAGAUAUUUGCAGUUUAUUUUUAUACUAGAUCAAUGUACAAACAGCUUUAAUAUGCACUAGUGCACACUAGUGCAUCCGACCGAAUUCGCUAUUAGAGAAAGGAAGCGAAAAGUUGCGUAGUGAUAGAAGCGAAAAUUGCGAGAGAUUAGGAGGCGAGAUACGGCAAAAGAAAAGGCGUGAGAUAACUGGAGUGCGUAACUUGCGAGAGGGUGCGUUGGAUGGAGCGGCGUGCGUUGCGUUAGAUUAAGUCACAGAUAUUGUAAGAGCGGACUGUAUGUAUAAACCCGAGGGGAGAAAUAAACUAUCUAAAUAAAA